rnacentral:rRNA from 1 species
GAAUAUUGGACAAUGGGCGGGAGCCUGAUCCAGCCAUGCCGCGUGCAGGAAGACGGCCCUAUAGGUUGUAAACUGCUUUUGCACGGGAAGAAACGCCCCCUCGCGAGGGGGCCUGACGGUACCGUGAGAAUAAGGAUCGGCUAACUCCGUGCCAGCAGCCGCGGUAAUACGGAGGAUCCGAGCGUUAUCCGGAAUCAUUGGGUUUAAAGGGUCCGUAGGUGGACGGUUAAGUCAGGGGUGAAAUCCCGCAGCUCAACUGUGGAAUUGCCCUUGAUACUGGCCAUCUUGAGUCGUUGUGAAGUGGUUGGAAUAUGUAGUGUAGCGGUGAAAUGCAUAGAUAUUACAUAGAACACCGAUUGCGAAGGCAGAUCACUAACGACGCACUGACACUGAUGGACGAAAGCGUGGGGAGCGAACAGG